AUUGAACGCUAGCGGCAGGCCUAACACAUGCAAGUCGAACGAGUGGCGGACGGGUGAGUAAUGUCUGGGAAACUGCCUGAUGGAGGGGGAUAACUACUGGAAACGGUAGCUAAUACCGCAUACCAUCAGAUGUGCCCAGCUGGGAGUAGCUGUGUGGUGGGGUAACGGCUCACCAAGGCGACGAUCCCUAGCUGGUCGAAGAGGAUGAACAUCUCCACGGGAACUGUGACACGGUCCAGACGCCUACGGGAGGCAGCAGUGGGGAAUAUUGCACAAUGGGCGCUAGCCUGAUGCAGCCAUGCCGCGUGUAUGAAGAAGGCCUUCGGGUUGUAAAGUACUUUCAGCGGGGAGGCGUUACCCGCAGAAGAAGCACCGGCUAACUCCGUGCCAGCAGCCGCGGUAAUUC
rnacentral:rRNA from 1 species